UGUGUGUGUGUCAUGAGUAGAUCUGGAUUUGCUCCUGAGGGCUUGACGCGGCGUCCUGAUGGCGUCCCGGUGACGUGGCGUUCUGAUGGCGUCCUGUUGGUCUGCAGACAAGGAGAAGAGACGUGAGGAGGAUCAUCAGGAUGUGUCUGUGUGUACAUCUAAUUGUUAGUGUGUCUGUCUACAAGGAGAAGAGACGUGAGGAGGAUCAUCAGGAUGUGUCUGGGUGUACAUCUAAUUGUUAGUGUGUCUGUGUGUAGAUCUAAUUGUUAGUGUGUCUGUGUGUAGAUCUAAUUGUUAGUGUGUCUGUGUGUAGAUCUAAUUGUUAGUGUGUCUGUGUGUAGAUCUAAUUGUUAUUGUGUCUUUGUGUACAUCUAAAUAUUAAUGUGUCUUUGUGUACAUCUAAAUGUUAGUGUGUGUCUUUGUUUAGAACCAAAUGUUAGUGUGUCUGUGUGUACAUCUAAUUGUUAGUGUGUCUGUGUGUACAUCUAAUUGUUAUUGUGUCUUUGUGUACAUCUAAUUGUUAUUGUGUCUUAGUGUACAUCUAAAUAUUAGUGCGUGUCUGUGUGUAGAACCAAAUGAUAGUGUGUCUGUGUGUACAUCUAAAUGUUAGUGUGUCUGUGUGCA
ensembl:lncRNA